rnacentral:rRNA from 1 species
UACGAAGGGAGCUAGCGUUGUUCGGAAUUACUGGGCGUAAAGGGCGCGUAGGCGGCCUUGUAAGUCAGAUGUGAAAGCCCCGGGCUUAACCUGGGAACUGCAUUUGAUACUGCAAGGCUAGAGAAUGUGAGAGGUAAGUGGAAUUAUGAGUGUAGAGGUGAAAUUCGUAGAUAUUCAUAAGAACAUCAGUGGCGAAGGCGGCUUACUGGCACAUUACUGACGCUAAGGCGCGAAGGCUAGGGGAGCAAACGGG